GCCGGGGUAGCCUAGCCUGGGAAGGCGCGGGCCUGGAGAGUCCGUGGGCGUUAAGCCCGCCGGGGUUCAAAUCCCCGCCCCGGCGCCA
rnacentral:tRNA from 1 species